UACGGAGGAUGCAAGCGUUAUCCGGAAUGAUUGGGCGUAAAGCGUCCGCAGGUGGCUAUGUAAGUCUGCUGUUAAAGAGUGAGGCUCAACCUCAUAAGAGCAGUGGAAACUACAUAGCUAGAGUACGUUCGGGGCAGAGGGAAUUCCUGGUGUAGCGGUGAAAUGCGUAGAGAUCAGGAAGAACACCGGUGGCGAAGGCGCUCUGCUAGGCCGUAACUGACACUGAGGGACGAAAGCUAGGGGAGCGAAUGGG
rnacentral:rRNA from 1 species